rnacentral:rRNA from 1 species
UACAGAACGAACGCUGGCGGCAGGCCUAAACAUGCAAGUUGAACGGUUGUAGCAAUACAACGAGUAGCGGACGGGUGAGUAAUGUAUGGGAACAUGUCCUUUAGUGGGGAAUAGCUUCUGGAAACGGAGGUAAUACCGCAUAAGACCUGAGGGUGAAAGCAUUUAUGCGCUAAAGGGUUGGCCCAUAUCAGAUUAGCUAGUUGGUUAGGUAAAAGCUGACCAAGGCGACGAUCUGUAGCUGGUUUGAGAGGAUGAUCAGCCACAAUGGGACUGAGACACGGCCCAUACUCCUACGGGAGGCAGCAGUAGGGAAUUUUGCGCAAUGGGCGAAAGCCUGACGCAGCAACGCCGCGUGAUUGAAGAAGCCCUUCGGGGUGUAAAGAUCUGUCAGUGGGGACGAAACUUGACGGUACCCACAGAGGAAGCAUCGGCUAACUCCGUG